UUGAAGAGUUCCCACAUUUGGCCUCCUACUCCUGCGCUGCGAAGCUCUCUGUUCUGCUUGGAGACAAUACACAGGAUGGAAGAAUACCUUGUUCCUAAACCAGAUGGAGAUAAGACCUCCUACAUAAUCAAGGUCACCUCGAAUUCAUGAUGACCCUGCUGCCUUGUCCUUCUCAGUGCUGGCAUUGCAGAUGGAAACUGGAGCAUUAGAAGACAGGAGAUGGAGGCAAGAAAGUCCCCUACCCUAAAAAAAGAUAACCUUCCAACAAGGGCUCUGCCUGUCUACUCAGUCCAAGCAUCGCCUUACCAAGCUUACCAAAGCCGGGGAUAUGAGCAGCUACAAAGACUCACUGCAUCGUAAUACUUCGCACGAACCCUCACCUUCCUAAUACCUAAAGCCAGCUAGCUGCUUGCACACUUCUGCCACGUUCUGCUUCUCAGAAGGGUCCCACACAGGAAACCCUGGCUGAACAAACUCAUGAAGCUUUUCAUAUCAGCACAAAGAGAAAGAGCCUUUCGUGUGCUGCCUACACAGAACAGGCCCCUAUGGGCAGGCGGGAGCUGAGUUCUUGAGCAAGUGACACACCCAUAACUCUAUCUACCUUAUAGGAAUCUUGUAAUGACAAAUUCGAUCUUAUAAUGUAAGAUGCUGAGCGCAGGUCCUCACAGAAAUCCAGUGUUCGAUACAUGAUAACUAGUCUCUUAAUUUAAAGAUUAGGAAAUCAUCCUGGAAAGGGGGAAGGGAAGUUGGACAUCCAAGAGGAAAUGGGAUCAGGGCAUCACCUCAAAGCGAUCCAGGAAGUCCUUCAGGUUUGGGAAGGCGUCCAGGCACUUGGGCUCAAAUAUACGGUGUCUAUCAAGGACAUCAUAGAUGAGGAAAUCCACAUAGGUGAUCUGCAGGAGGCCCACGGUGAGUACACUGGAAUUUGAGGCCUGAGAAGAGUGGCAACUCCUCCUUCCCAACCCCUCCCUUUAUUUACCUUGUCCCCGGUAAACCAUGGCUGCUCGCCCAGGAAAUCAGAGUAGAGCUUCAUCUUCUCAGGGAGACCCUCUAAGAAUUCUG